CCUACGGGUGGCAGCAGUGAGGAAUAUUGGUCAAUGGUCGGGAGACUGAACCAGCCAAGCCGCGUGAGGGAUGAAGGUACAGAGUAUCGUAAACCUCUUUUGUCAGGGAACAAAGGCGUGGACGUGUCCCCGGAUGAGUGUACCUGAAGAAAAAGCAUCGGCCAACUCCGUGCCAGCAGCCGCGGUAAUACGGAGGAUGCGAGCGUUAUCCGGAUUUAUUGGGUUUAAAGGGUGCGCAGGGGGUCUGUUAAGUCAGCGGUUAAAGGCCGGGGCUCAACCCCGAGACCGCCGUUGAAACUGGCAGUCUCGAGUUGGAGAGAAGUAUGCGGAAUGCGCGGUGUAGCGGUGAAAUGCAUAGAUAUCGCGAAGAACUCCGAUUGCGAAGGCAGCAUGCCGGCUCCACACUGACGCUGAGGCACGAAAGCGUGGGUAUCGAACAGGAUUAGAUACCCCAGUAGUC
rnacentral:rRNA from 1 species